GUUGGUGAACCAGCGGAGGGAUCAUUACAGAGUUGCAAAACUCCCUAAACCAUUGUGAACGUUACCAAAACCGUUGCUUCGGCGGGCGGCCCGGGUCCUUCCCGGCGCCCCCCGGCCCUCGCGGGCGCCCGCCGGAGGUAAACCAAACUAUUGCAUUAAUGGCCUCUCUGAGUCUUCUGUACUGAAUAAGUCAAAACUUUCAACAACGGAUCUCUUGGUUCUG
rnacentral:misc_RNA from 1 species